ensembl:lincRNA Platr19 pluripotency associated transcript 19
ACUGGGCAGCCCCUGACCUAGCUCCCGCUGCGGCAAGGCGGCCGCCUCCCAGCUAGCCACAGAUUUCGGGGCGGCAGCAGCGCAGCUGUUUCCAGCCAAGGCGAUGGUCAAGAGAGUCUGCCUAUUAGCAGGAAGCGUUAACAGAACACUUGAUCUAAUGGAUUUGCACAAUUGAUCCUGAUGAAGCAUAUUCAGCGCCAAGAAGAGAGUCUAAGGGACUGGAAAUACAGAUCCCCCAUGCAGGCUUCCAAGGUGUUUGCCACACAGGCAUGAAGACUGCAGAUGGAUCCCAGGAACACCCACAAAAAGCUGACCAUGGCAGUAUGUCGUUAAUCCCAGUGACAGCAAAUCAGAGUCAGAAAAGAAGACACUCUAGGUUAAUGCAAUGGGAGCUCAAAACCUUGCCUUAAGCAUGAGGAAGCCAGACAGAUUCUAGCUACUGAUAUAUUUUAGCAGAGGCCCAAGAAGUCACAGGCCUUACCCAUCUUUCAGUCCCACAAUGCUUGCACUCAUUACAGCUUGCUCAAAGGAAAUGUUCAUUCACUGGUUUAUCACAAACCUUUGGGACCAUCACAGGAAUUUUAAUCAGGGCCCAGCUUGAACAAAUAUGACUAUCUUUAUCUUUACCAAAUAAUUAACUGAGUGUUGGAGAGAUGCCUUCGUUUGUCUUAGGGCCACCGGGCCAGGGAGUGGUGUGGUUUGUGAAAUCCAACCUCCUGACUGUACUACGUGUACCACACCUCUGCGUCUGGGUAGCAGAGGGUCCAAGUCCAAGAGGUUAUCGUGUCUGGAGGCCCUCUGCAUGAAGGAGAUGCUCUGUGUAUUUUAGAUUAAAAUACAACUGGGCUCUUGGCUUUAGGGCUCAAGACAAAGACUCGAUUGCUAUUUCUAAAGCCCCAGGUUACUUCUUUCUAGUUCUUUCAUCUUGGGUGUUUGUUGCAGGACAGUGACUUUGGAAACAGAAAAUUCUAAAAGGUACCUCUUUUUAUCCUGCUGGUAUGACAAGCAAGCACUCCUGAACAUGCUGCUGUUUUCACUGAAGAUGGAAAGUGCUCUGUCUGUCCAUGACAGCAGAGAGCCAAGGAGAGCCUGGCAUGAGGCUGACUUCCGUCCCUGCCCUUCAGUUACUGGCUUUUUUGAGUCAAAGUGACUGUUUCCUUUUGAAAAGGUGCUGGGAGAACGAGAUGAGAUUCUUGAGAGCCCUGUCAUGUCACAGCUUGGUUGUGGCUUGUGACAGUGUACGUAAGCAAGUCCCUUCCUUGGCCUGCGUUCUCGCGGACUGAUUUGCCACCAUUGGGCUCCCCCACUUUGUGAGCAUUCAGUGUCAUCACCCUUCUGGUAAAGAUCCUUAACCAGCAGGUUCCACUGGACAAGCUGCUGCGAGGCUUUCUACACAAAAGAUGUUUCUGCAGUUUAUGCACAGGAAACAGCCUUGGGGACUUCAAGGAUACUUUUUUUUUUUUCCC